AACGAACGCUGGCGGCGUGCCUAACACAUGCAAGUCGAGCGCGAAAAGGGCAACCUGAGUAGAGCGGCGCACGGGUGCGUAACACGUGGGUAAUCUGCCUUAGAGUCGAGGAUAACCUUCCGAAAGGUUGGCUAAUACUCGGUAAGCUUACGGUGUCUUCGGACGCUGUGGGAAAAGUAGGCCUCUGUUUACAAGCUUAUGCUCUGAGAUGAGCCCGCGGCCCAUCAGCUAGUUGGCGGUGUAACGGACCACCAAGGCAACGACGGGUAGCUGGUCUGAGAGGACGAUCAGCCACACUGGAACUGAGACACGGGCCAGACUCCUACGGGAGGCGGCAGUGGGGAAUUUUCCACAAUGGGCGAAAGCCUGAUGGAGCAACGCCGCGUGUGUGGUGAAGGUUUUCGGAUCGUAAAGCACUUUCGACUGGGACGAAAAACCUUUGGCUAACAUCCAGGGGCCUGACGGUACCAGGAGAAGAAGCACCGGCUAACUCUGUGCCAGCCGCCGCGGUAAAAC
rnacentral:rRNA from 1 species